UUUCAGCAUCUUACUGUAACAGAUGCCAAACAUUUCCCUGCCUCCUACACUGCCAGUGAGGCCUUGCAGGGGACACAACAGAGACUGCUUGGCUGGCUGUGUAUCCAUGCUAAUUAUGGAACAGCACAUAGUAAUCCAAGACCAAGCAACAAGAGAUUAAAAAAGAACAGAGGUGGGUAUGUAGGGGGAUUCCCAGAAUCCUGAACAAUCAGCAAUAUCACCUGAUGCACAGCAGGACACAUUACACCAGGAGUCCAGCUCCUUAAACAGCCACAGCCUUUCCCCUCCUGUCCCAUGUGAAAACCUGAAGAGCUCACCAAAUGGAAAAGAGGAACAAGACAUGAAGCCCACUUUAGGAAAGGCUGUCAGCUCUUCUGUCAAUGGUUUAACUCCAGUAUUAAGACAGGAAGGAUGAGUUUCCGAUGGGGACAAUGAAAUAAUGACACUGACCUGGGACAUUGAAGGGCCACUUCCUUAAAGUUAAGUAAGAACAUUGCAUUAGGAAGUAAAUUACAUAUCCAGGAGGAAUUUCAUGGAAGAAGAAACAAAACACAAGACUAGAGGGAGAACGAAUUAGCAAUGUACAGAACAGUGGUUUGAGAGAGAAGCAAACCAACUCCAAAUGCUGCUGAGCUCUGUCAGCUCAAGCUGCACAAAGAGAUUUUCUCCCUUCCCAAGACACCCAGGAGUGAGGCUGAGGCUGCACUGGAGGAAUUCACACUGGUGACAACGCUGUCCCAGAAGGUGGAACUGCACAACCCAAGUGACUCAAGCCAGGAGU